CGUCUUUAUCGAUUGAUGAUUGGUUCUUCUAACUGGGAAGCCGGGACUUGCGUAGCCAGAUCGGCCAUAUUGAGCGUUGCAUUGCCUCAUUUACAGCAGGAACAGCUCAGUCGUGUAAAAUCCAUUAUGUUUGACACAGGUAAACGGUGAUCGGCAGAUCUGUAUUUAGAGAUACGACGUGUUGUAUGGAGUGGGAAAUAUUACAAGAGCAGUUUGACCCGCAGGUUUUGGCAGUGGGAUAUGAAUGCCCGUCAUAACAAGAAGCCGGGACGUACAGAGGAAACGUAAUGACUGUGACCUGAGAGAGAGCCACAGGUGUGUUUGUGUGGAUAUGCAUCUUGUGUAUAUCUGUCUGCACGUGCUUAUUUACUCCAUUAAACGUGGGCUUAAGAAGGGGGUCAACCAAACUACAAGGCCCUAAAAAGUCCUCCUCAUUAAAAAACUGAA